GAUGAACGCUGGCGGCGUGCCUAAUACAUGCAAGUCGAGCGAACAGACGCGGAGCUUGCUCCUCUGACGUUAGCGGCGGACGGGUGAGUAACACGUGGAUAACCUACCUAUAAGACUGGGAUAACUUCGGGAAACCGGAGCUAAUACCGGAUAAUAUAUUGAACCGCAUGGUUCAAUAGUGAAAGACGGUUUUGCUGUCACUUAUAGAUGGAUCCGCGCCGCAUUAGCUAGUUGGUAAGGUAACGGCUUACCAAGGCAACGAUGCGUAGCCGACCUGAGAGGGUGAUCGGCCACACUGGAACUGAGACACGGUCCAGACUCCUACGGGAGGCAGCAGUAGGGAAUCUUCCGCAAUGGGCGAAAGCUUGACGGAGCAACGCCGCGUGAGUGAUGAAGGUCUUCGGAUCGUAAAACUCUGUUAUUAGGGAAGAACAAAUGUGUAAGUAACUAUGCACGUCUUGACGGUACCUAAUCAGAAAGCCACGGCUAACUACGUG
rnacentral:rRNA from 1 species